AUUCAGUGAAUCAUCGAAUCUUUGAACGCACAUUGCGCCCGCCAGUAUUCUGGCGGGCAUGCCUGU
rnacentral:rRNA from 1 species